rnacentral:rRNA from 1 species
GAGUUUGGAACAUGGCUCAGGAUGAACGCUGGCGGCGUGCCUAAUACAUGCAAGUCGAACGCACAGCGAAAGGUGCUUGCACCUUUCAAGUGAGUGGCGAACGGGUGAGUAACACGUGGACAACCUGCCUCAAGGCUGGGGAUAACAUUUGGAAACAGAUGCUAAUACCGAAUAAAACUUAGUGUCGCAUGACACAAAGUUAAAAGGCGCUUCGGCGUCACCUAGAGAUGGAUCCGCGGUGCAUUAGUUAGUUGGUGGGGUAAAGGCCUACCAAGACAAUGAUGCAUAGCCGAGUUGAGAGACUGAUCGGCCACAUUGGGACUGAGACACGGCCCAAACUCCUACGGGAGGCUGCAGUAGGGAAUCUUCCACAAUGGGCGAAAGCCUGAUGGAGCAACGCCGCGUGUGUGAUGAAGGCUUUCGGGUCGUAAAGCACUGUUGUAUGGGAAGAACAGCUAGAAUAGGAAAUGAUUUUAGUUUGACGGUACCAUACCAGAAAGGGACGGCUAAAUACGUGCCAGCAGCCGCGGUAAUACGUAUGUCCCGAGCGUUAUCCGGAUUUAUUGGGCGUAAAGCGAGCGCAGACGGUUUAUUAAGUCUGAUGUGAAAGCCCGGAGCUCAACUCCGGAAUGGCAUUGGAAACUGGUUAACUUGAGUGCAGUAGAGGUAAGUGGAACUCCAUGUGUAGCGGUGGAAUGCGUAGAUAUAUGGAAGAACACCAGUGGCGAAGGCGGCUUACUGGACUGCAACUGACGUGNGCUCG